rnacentral:lncRNA from 1 species
AUGGAGGAUGUGGACAAGUGGGUGAAGAAUUUGUCUGACAGACAGCUCACCCAAACAGAGAAAAACAUCCUUGCUAAAGGGUUGAAUUUUGCCGUCACACCGAGACAAAUCCCUCUAGUGGAGCUGAACACAGCCACAGAAACAGCAAUUCGUAACAACAAUAUUGCAGAAGUGGAAGCAGAGCAACUACGGACGAAAGUUUCAGCCUGUCUCAGCAAUGCAAAGCCCCCAGCAUCCAACAUCACCAUGGAGGAGAGGAAGGCACUCACAUCACUUAGUGAUGACAACAACAUUAUCAUCCUUCCGGCAGACAAGGGUAGGUGCACAGUAUUGCUUAACCAGAAAGACGCUCAUGAGAAGAUUUUGUCACUACUCAGUGAUGAAAAUACUUAUGAGCCCCUGAAACGAGACCCAGGAAGUGGCUACAGGAAGAGGGUCAUAGACUGUCUGAAGCAGUUAGAACAAGACAAGGCUAUCGACCGGACCUCAUACCACAGGCUGUAUCCAGGGGAGUCUACACCAAGUCUGUAUGGUUUACCGAAAAUACAUAAGCAGGGUGCACCUUUAAGACCGAUUGUCUGCAUGAUCAACUCGGUCACCUAUAACAUCUCCAAGUUUCUGGCUUCGAUCCUCAACCCGCUGGUGGGCAGCUCUGAACACCACAUCCAGAACACCCUGGAUUUUGUUGAGAAGGUGAGAGAUGUCAUUAUGGAGGCAGAUGAAACCAUGGUCUCGUACGACGUUACAUCUCUCUUCACUUGCAUCCCAGUCACGGAAGCGUUGGAGGUAGUCCGUAAGAGAUUACAGGAUGACACCAACCUCAGCAACAGGACCACUCUCAGCAUCGACCAAGUGUGUUUGCUUUUGGAACUGUGUCUUCAUUCCACCUACUUCACAUACAAGGGUCAGUUCUACAGGCAGAAACAUGGGUGUGCCAUGGGCUCCCCAGUUUCACCCAUCGUGGCCAAUUUGUACAUGGAAGAAGUGGAAAAGAGGGCUUUGCUAUCCUACCCUGGAACACCACCAAGCCAUUGGUUCAGAUAUGUGGAUGACACCUGGGUGAAAAUCAAAUCUCAGGAUGUACUACAUUUCACGGAUCACAUUAACUCGGUGGACCAACACAUCAAAUUCACCAGAGAGGAUAUGAAAAGUGGCAGGUUAGCCUUCUUAGACUGUGAGAUUUCCAUCAGUAAUGGGGGACAUCUAAAAGCUGACGAGUACCGUAAACCUACGCAUACGGAUCAGUAUCUAAGGUUUGACUCUCAUCAUCCACUGGAGCACAAACUGGGUGUCAACACAGAGCGAACACCAUCCCCACUGACACAGCGGCCAGGGAGGCAGAAGAACAGCACAUCAAGAAGGCCCUGA